rnacentral:rRNA from 1 species
AUUGAACGCUGGCGGCAUGCUUUACACAUGCAAGUCGAACGGUAACAGGCCGCAAGGUGCUGACGAGUGGCGAACGGGUGAGUAAUGCAUCGGAACGUGCCCAGUCGUGGGGGAUAACGCAGCGAAAGCUGUGCUAAUACCGCAUACGAUCUAUGGAUGACAGCGGGGGACCGUAAGGCCUCGCGCGAUUGGAGCGGCCGAUGUCAGAUUAGGUAGUUGGUGGGGUAAAGGCCUACCAAGCCGACGAUCUGUAGCUGGUCUGAGAGGACGACCAGCCACACUGGGACUGAGACACGGCCCAGACUCCUACGGGAGGCAGCAGUGGGGAAUUUUGGACAAUGGGCGCAAGCCUGAUCCAGCAAUGCCGCGUGCAGGAAGAAGGCCUUCGGGUUGUAAACUGCUUCUGUACGGAACGAAACGGUCUGGGUUAAUACCCUGGGCUAAUGACGGUACCGUAAGAAUAAGCACCGGCUAACUACGUGCCAGCAGCCGCAGUAAUAC